AGCUCAGUAGCUGAUCAGCAGUGGAAGGCUACUAAUAAGAUUUCAUCCAUUAGCUUCCGUGUGCCAAGCAGCUUGGGCACCUUACUGCAGAAAGUGGGGAUUCUCUCCUGCCCUUCCAGGCUUUCCAGCCAUGAAGUUACACAGCGUUCAUCCCUAUUCAGACCGUGCUUAGCCACAAAGCCACAAGAUGGCGAAGAGUGGGGCGAACAGAAGAGAAGGUGCCUCAAUCCAGGUGCUUGUGUUGUCCUCACGAACCAUUUUCAUGCAAUUAUGGACAGCUGGGUGAGUUGCAUGCCCUGGCUGUUGUCUGCCCAGCACAGAGUAGAUUUCCCUGCCUCGUGAUUUGGGUAGCAGGAGAGGAUUCUAUCUGAAUGUGAGUUACUGGCUCUGGAGUACUUUAGAUUGUGACAGUAUCACAAGAACCAAGUAUGUGAGUCUCUGCUUUCCAUCUUUCCUUACAGCUCCUGGAAUAGCCAUAGUCAGGAAUACCCCAUUCACUGGGAAUGUCUGAGCCCAGGGUUUCUACAGCGCCUGCCCUCUCCCACUCUCAAAUGGUGAUUGAAAUGAGUAAAACAAAGAUCACAUGAGAGAGAAUACAGCACACUCAUGAAACUGCAACACGUCUGCCCGGGAAGCAAACAGAGUAAGAGGAGAAGGCAUCCAGUUCUCCUCGUCCAGCUCUUAAGCCUGCACCACAAUUACCGUGUCUUUGUUAUGCACUGAUUGUGCUUGGCCGUGUAUGAAACACAUGGUUGCUGCCCCACAGACCUUACAGUCUGCAUAGUUAUGGACCAAACCCUCCUGGGGGACAGCAGCAGGCUUGGAGUUUGGGUGUUCUUGCAGAAUACUGUUCAGCCAGUGCAGUACCCACUUGCUCAGAAGAAAGCUGAUGCUCACUCUGCUCAUAACUGACCUAGCACCGAAGAUCAUGUAUGUGAGUUUCUGGGAAGCUCUUGACUGUGGAAGUGAGGUCAGAGGAAAGGGAAGAGAUGCUCUUUCCUAUGCUGUGUCGCUAGGCCCAGCAUUUUUGGGAGUGAAGAGAUCAAAGUGCAGUUCUGUCACAUUGUUGGCAUAACAGCCUGUGCAGCAGCACACAGUACAAAUGUGAGUCUGUUCUGUUCUAUAGAGAGAACAGUGUACUGUGUCUAAGUGAAGGAAGCCCUAGAUCCUUUCCAGACCCCCAGCCUGUAUUUCAGAGGUGAGCUACCUGCCUGUAACACCUUAUCAUCCUGGUAGCACAUUCUCUUUCCCAUCUGCAAUUGGUUAGCUAAACAAGCAGUCUCUAUCCCUGCUGCCCAGCUUGGCAAGGUGUGAUCACAUUACCAUUAUUCUCAGUUUUACAAUCAAUUAAAAAAUUAAAUCAAAGGGCUGGUGUUAGUAUAAGCUGGAAAGAAAUGAGAACAAUUUCAAAGAGUGUUUUAAACACUGCAUUUUCAUUAUAGACAUCUCAGCUGCUUUUCUCUCAGCCAGGAUCAUUUGUUCCAGCUCCUAUGUGUUUUGCAUGCUGAGGCCUGGCAGCUGACAAGGGGGAGCAUGCCAUGGAAAUAUUGGGCAAGUGUCACUCACUGAUUCCUGCAGCAGAUCAUGGUUGAAUAAUGAGUUAAAAAUCCUGGACUGAUGAUGUUGCCUGAUAACAUGAAGCAUCCAAGGUGUCAGUCCUUGUUGUCUUUUUUGGGUGUAAUGAGCUGAAGUAGCUGUGUACUCUGUGAUAAACCCCUCCCCACAGAGCCAUGCAAGUCCCUUGGCUUUACACAAUAGGGAAAUGAGUUUGAAUCAAGUUUCAAGAUCAAAGUAGCCAAACAAAACCUUAUGGCUGCAGAUUCCCUGUGACUCUCCAUAGCGCUUUUGAUUCUGGACUGGGGUGUAUGCAGCUGCAGUAUGCAAAAGGUCCUGAAUCUAGCUAUAUAUUAUUAAAAGUCUAUUUUUGUGGGAAUCCCCCAAUUUCCUUUCCUGUCACCACAACCCUCAGGCCCUAAGCAACAGCAAAGCUCUGUAAGAAUCCCCAAGCCCCCUUCAGAAGAAGUGCUGUGCCCAAAUGCAACCCCACAGACCUGCACUAUUCUUCUGUCCAGCAGCUGCUACCACACUAACAAUGUCAGCCUGUGGGAAUGGACUAGAUGUCACUCAGAAGUGGCAGAUCUUUUCCACCUCUGACUCCUAUAAUUUGGAUGCCCAACAAUGGAGCUGGCCAUCUCGAUAACACAGUGUCCCAGGGGUUAAUGUGGUAGCCUUGUUAGCCCAGAAAGCAGAUAUUACCUACCUUUCAGGUCCACAAAUACAUUUAUUUAUGAGCAAAACACCCAUCUGUACCUUUCUGUUUUAUUUUAAAUACCCCCAAAGCAUGAAGGGCAACUGGUAAUCUGUAUUCCAGCAAGGCUGUGCUUUGUUUCUUUGCCACUUGAAUGCUUAAAGAAGACACUUGUAGUUUUUGCAGAUAUGUUCAGGUGAGCUGUUCUUGGAGAGUGGAUUCAGGCCAUGAAUCCAUCCAGAGUCCCAGGGGUCUUAUGGUCAGGUGCAGAAAUGGAAAGUAAUGCAGGUCAGUAAUAAUUAACUACCUACAUUCUGAGCACUGUCCAUCUCAUUUACUGUAAUUAUUGCUUUGCUUAUUGGUUAUGCCCUGUCCUUUGAAAGAUUUUGUUAUUGGGAUUUUUCAUAUUCAGUUUUGCAUAUUUUUUACCUACGGGGCAUGUCAAACUCAGCGGUAACUCCAAGUGUAAGGCCAACCUCUGUGACAUGGCUGUUGCUAGUUCCAGUAGGAACCUAGCUGGCGGACCCAAAAGGUUUGUGACUAGAGAACUGUAAGUCUUAGAAGGUUUGGGUGUUUGAUGUUAUUCUUUAUGAGGAAUGCUGGCUUUGCUUAGCUUUCCUCUCGUCGCUUUCUGACCCUUAUUGCUUUCUUGGAGAAGGAAAUGGCUUAUUCAUUUCUAGAUGAACUUGGUCCCUUCUGAGAAGUGAAGAAUUCUGCACAAUGCAGCACAGAUUAACUAGAGAUCUCUGUUGGGGAAAUCAAAUGAAAUGUCUUGACUGACGAUAAAGACAUCUGGGAAUUUUUUGUGUCAUCUUGCUUAAGCAUGUUGGGUCUGUUGUCAUCCUCUAACAAUCAAUAUGCUACUUGCAGUUCUUUUCUUUUGUUUUUUUUUAAUCAAAUGAGACUAUGAGAAUGCAGCCAGUUCCUUUCAAUGGAUGUUGGGGCAGAGCCACAGUUGGAACAAAUUGUUGUAACUCCACUGAAUUCAAUGGGGCGAGGGUGAUUGACACCAGCUGAGAAUCUGGCUCUGCUUUCACUUUCCUGCACUCCUGCUUUGCUCUGCACUGGUUUAAAGUGAGGACAGUCAGAUUUUUGCCCUGUGUGGAUUAAAUCACUCACACUAAAUUAGUUCCGUUUUGGGUUGAUGAAGCAGCAGCACAACCUAAAAGCAGAAGUUCAGAAGGUUAAUAAUAAUGAUUCUUAAAGCAUGGUCCUCCCCUCCACAUCCUCCUGGUGCUGCACAAAUGGAAUUAAAGGAGGGUAAUACAUUGUACAAUGCAACAAGAGCAUUAUAACCAAACUGGCCCUCUCUAACUCUAAUGCU